AAGUAACAUAUUAGUCUACUAUAUCCCUGAGUAGUGUGCAGGGAUAUAAUAGAAAGAACUGGCUGAAACCACGAGAGACUGGAGAAAACCAGGAGGUGACAGAAAAUGAAGCUAGGUGGUGAUAAGAGGACAUAGAACUGGAAAAGCAAGAAACUGCAGAAGCGGCUGGCUGCUAUCCCAAAUAACAACUUUCAAUUAACAAAUGUCACAGAGACCUAGAGAAGCUGGCUUCAAAGAAACCGAUGAAAAGAUGCAGGGCAUCUGGGUGCAGAACAUCUGGAAGAGCUCCCCAGUCAUGGAUGAGUACACUAAUGAAAGAGGUUCUGGAUCUCGCCUGAGGUAACAUCACCAUCAGCAUUGGACAGACCUUACCAUUCAAAAGAUACAUCCUUGAUAUAAGAACAUUUUUUUCUGAGUAAGUACUGCCACAUGCAAUGCAUCGUGUCUGCAGAGAACAGAAGACUCUACUUUAAUGUUGAAAUAAUAGUUUGGUAUAUACUGGAGACA